UACGGGGGGGGCAAGCGUUGUUCGGAAUUACUGGACGUAAAGGGCUCGUAGGCGGCCAACUAAGUCAGACGUGAAAUCCCUCGGCUUAACCGGGGAACUGCCUCUGAUACUGGAUGGCUUGAGAUUGGGAGAGGGAUGCGGAAUUCCAGGUGUAGCGGUGAAAUGCGUAGAUAUCUGGAGGAACACCGGUGGCGAAGGCGGCAUCCUGGACCAACACUGACGCUGAGGAGCGAAAGCGUGGGGAGCAAACAGG
rnacentral:rRNA from 1 species